CGUGUUCUUAGGAAACCGUGCAGUAUUUUUUAUUUUUUUUAAAUGUAUUAUUUCGUACAUUGUUACCCCAGGAAAUCUUACGUUUUAUUACAUACAGCCGGGAAGAACUAUUGGCCAUAUGAGCAACGUCAACUUACCAACAUGGCCCUGAAAGAAGUUCACUGGACUCUUUGUAAACUGGAAACCACAUAUCCUGAGGCUGCAUUUAUUGUAGCUGGAGAUUUUAACAAAGCUAAUGUGAAAAAUAAGGCUCCCUAAAUUCUAUCAGCAUAUCGAUUGUGCUACCAGGGCUGGUACAGUGUUCAGGGUUCUCUCUGAGAGGCCAGUGUUCAGGGUUCUCUCUGAGAGGCCAGUUUGGGACAGUGUUCAGGGUUCUCUCUGAGAGGCCAGUUUGGGACAGUGUUCAGGGUUCUCUCUGAGAGGCCAGUGUUCAGGGUUCUCUCUGAGAGGCCAGUGUUCAGGGUUCUCUCUGAGAGGCCAGAUUGGGACAGUGUUCAGGGUUCUCUCUGAGAGGCCAGUGUUCAGGGUUCUCUCUGAGAGGCCAGUGUUCAGGGUUCUCUCUGAGAGGCCAGUGUUCAGGGUUCUCUCUGAGAGGCCAGUGUUCAGGGUUCUCUCUGAGAGGCCAGUGUUCAGGGUUCUCUCUGAGAGGCCAGUGUUCAGGGUUCUCUCUGAGAGGCCAGUUUGGGACAGUGUUUAGGGUUCUCUCUGAGAGGCCAGUUUGGGACAGUGUUCAGGGUUCUCUCUGAGAGGCCAGUGUUCAGGGUUCUCUCUGAGAGGCCAGUGUUCAGGGUUCUCUCUGAGAGGCCAGUUUGGGACAGUGUUCAGGGUUCUCUCUGAGAGGCCAGUUUGGGACAGUGUUCAGGGUUCUCUCUGAGAGGCCAGUUUGGGACAGUGUUCAGGGUUCUCUCUGAGAGGCCAGUUUGGGACAGUGUUCAGGGUUCUCUCUGAGAGGCCAGUGUUCAGGGUUCUCUCUGAGAGGCCAGUUUGGGACAGUGUUCAGGGUUCUCUCUGAGAGGCCAGUGUUCAGGGUUCUCUCUGAGAGGCCAGUUUGAGACAGUGUUCAGGGUUCUCUCUGAGAGGCCAGUGUUCAGGGUUCUCUCUGAGAGGCCAGAUUGGGCCAGUGUUCAGGGUUCUCUCUGAGAGGCCAGUGUUCAGGGUUCUCUCUGAGAGGCCAGUGUUCAGGGUUCUCUCUGAGAGGCCAGUUUGACGAUGACACGUUGCUUCCUCUCUGGUUUCCUGUGGAACCUCUUCUCUUCACACACAGCUUCCUCUGACACACACACACACACACACACACACACACACACACACACACACGUUAACAGAAAUCUUUAUUAUUUUAUUGAAUCAUUGUUUAACCAGGUGUGUGUGUGUGUGUACCUGUGUCCGGCUGAGUACAGACUGAGGCCAGGCCGAAGAGAGAGAAGAUGAUGAAGGCGAUGAUGAUGAAGGUCGACUCCAGACCAGAGAACGGCAGCUCCAUCUACACAAAUACACACAUUGAUUUGACAUUAUAACUAUAAUGGUAGAUAGAGUUGGAGCUAGGAGCACAAGCAUUUCACUACUCCUGCAAUAGCAUC
rnacentral:lncRNA from 1 species